AACGAACGCUGGCGGCAUGCCUAACACAUGCAAGUCGAACGGGACCUUCGGGUCUGGUGGCGCACGGGUGCGUAACGCGGGGGAACCUGCCCUUAGGUUCGGCAUAACUCCCCGGAAGGGGUGCUGAUACCGGAUAAUGUCUUCGGACCGAAGAUUUGUCGCCUUUGGGGGGGCCCGCGUUGGCUUGGCUAGAUGGGAGGGUAAAUGCCUAUCACGGUGACGAUCCAUAGCUGGUCUCAGAGGCUGGGCAGCCACACUGGGACUGGGACACGGCCCAGACUCUUACGGGAGGCAGCAGUGGGGAAUAUUGCACAAUGGGCGAAAGCCUGAUGCAGCAAUGCCGCGUGAGUGAUGAAGGCCUUAGGGUUGUAAAGCUCUUUUACCCGGGAUGAUAAUGACGGUACCGGGAGAAUAAGCUCCGGCUAACUCCGUG
rnacentral:rRNA from 1 species